AGUGAACGCUGGCGGUAGGCCUAACACAUGCAAGUCGAACGGCAGCACAGAGGAGCUUGCUCCUUGGGUGGCGAGUGGCGGACGGGUGAGGAAUACAUCGGAAUCUACUCUGUCGUGGGGGAUAACGUAGGGAAACUUACGCUAAUACCGCAUACGACCUACGGGUGAAAGCAGGGGAUCUUCGGACCUUGCGCGAUUGAAUGAGCCGAUGUCGGAUUAGCUAGUUGGCGGGGUAAAGGCCCACCAAGGCGACGAUCCGUAGCUGGUCUGAGAGGAUGAUCAGCCACACUGGAACCGAGACACGGUCCAGACUCCUACGGGAGGCAGCAGUGGGGAAUAUUGGACAAUGGGCGCAAGCCUGAUCCAGCCAUACCGCGUGGGCGAAGAAGGCCUUCGGGUUGUAAAGCCCUUUUGUUGGGAAAGAAAUCCAUCUGGUUAAUACCCGGGUGGGAUGACGGUACCCAAAGAAUAAGCACCGGCUAACUUAGUGCCAGCAGCCGCAGUAA
rnacentral:rRNA from 1 species